UACGUAGGGGGCAAGCGUUAUCCGGAUUCACUGGGUGUAAAGGGAGCGUAGACGGCCAUGCAAGCCUGGGGUGAAAGCCCGGGGCCCAACCCCGGGACUGCUCUGGGAACUGUGCGGCUGGAGUGCGGGAGGGGCAGGCGGAAUUCCUGGUGUAGCGGUGAAAUGCGUAGAUAUCAGGAGGAACACCGGCGGCGAAGGCGGCCUGCUGGACCGCGACUGACGUUGAGGCUCGAAAGCGUGGGGAGCAAACAGG
rnacentral:rRNA from 1 species